rnacentral:rRNA from 1 species
GACGAACGCUGGCGGCGUGCUUAACACAUGCAAGUCGAACGCUGAAGCUUGGUGCUUGCACUGGGUGGAUGAGUGGCGAACGGGUGAGUAAUACGUGAGUAACCUGCCCUUGACUCUGGGAUAAGCCUGGGAAACUGGGUCUAAUACUGGAUACGACAUGUCACCGCAUGGUGGUGUGUGGAAAGGGUUUUACUGGUUUUGGAUGGGCUCACGGCCUAUCAGCUUGUUGGUGGGGUAAUGGCUCACCAAGGCGACGACGGGUAGCCGGCCUGAGAGGGUGACCGGCCACACUGGGACUGAGACACGGCCCAGACUCCCACGGGAGGCAGCAGUGGGGAAUAUUGCACAAUGGGCGGAAGCCUGAUGCAGCGACGCCGCGUGAGGGAUGACGGCCUUCGGGUUGUAAACCUCUUUCAGCACGGAAGAAGCGAAAGUGACGGUACGUGCAGAAGAAGCGCCGGCUAACUACGUG